rnacentral:rRNA from 1 species
UACAGAGGUCCCGAGCGUUGUUCGGAUUCAUUGGGCGUAAAGGGUGCGUAGGCGGCGCGGUAAGUCGGGUGUGAAAUCUCGGAGCUUAACUCCGAAACUGCAUUCGAUACUGCCGUGCUUGAGGACUGGAGAGGAGACUGGAAUUUACGGUGUAGCGGUGAAAUGCGUAGAUAUCGUAAGGAAGACCAGGUGGCGAAGGCGGGGUCUCUGGACA